rnacentral:tRNA from 1 species
GCCGCUAUGGUGUUGUAGACA